rnacentral:lncRNA from 1 species
UGUUUAUUAAAAAAACAACAAUCAAUUGAACAAAUUCAUUAAUUAGUACAAUUAAUAUAUACUUUGUAAUAACAAUAUUACAGACAAUGUACAAUACAAUGUAUAUGUAUCACAGUUAUUUAAAAUGGUCAUUUACUUUAAUCUCAUAACAUGCAUGUUAUUUAAACAACCCAGUAUGUUUACAGAAAAUUUGGCUUUUACUUUAAACAAUUUGGUUUUGUAUUAUCAAUCAUCAGUACUCAAAAUUUGAAGCCCAACUCUCUAUUAUUGUAUAGUGCACCAAGGGAUGUUAAUUUAAAGGCCAAUCUUUGAAAAUAGCCUUUUAAAGAAAUUGUCUUUAACACUUUAGAUAUUUGAAAAUAGCCUUUUAAAGAAAUUGUCUUUUAACACUUUAGAUAUAUGCUCAUUGACAUUUAACUUUACAUGUAUGAUUUCAUGUAUUUUCAAGGGUACCAAAUUUUGUGGAUUGUGAUUUUUCAUGGAUAUUUGAUUUCGUGGUUUUACAAAUGUCUGCAUACACGCCAUUGGAAAAUUUGUACUAAGUUGAAUAUUGAAUCCACGAAAAAUUGGUUACCCAAGAAUUAUAUUGAAUCCACGAAAAAUUGGUAACCCAAGAAUUAUAAUGAAUCCACGAAAAAUUGGUAACCCAAGAAUUAUAAUGAAUCCACGAAAAAUUGGUAACCCAAGAAUUAUAAUGAAUCCACAGUAUAACAUUUCAUGAAUGUUCGUUUGAAAGACCAGCCUUUAUAUCACUGCUAAGGUAUAAAAGGGAGACAACUGACUGAUUGAUUAUUGAUUAUAAUUAUGUAAUUCUAUUGUGAUGAUCAAUAACUAUGCAAGGAGAUCUACAAUCAGUUGGAUUUUAAAACUAUAAAUUAUGCACUUGGUGUUUUUGAAAUUUAUAAGAAAUUCCAUUUAUUUUACCUAAUACUCUUAUUAUGAUAAAUUUUCUUCGCUGGCAGCUUGAAAAAAAAAUUAUGUGUUUAUUCUCAUUUUCAUAUAUUUACAAUUCUAACAUGACGUCCUUCAAACGCUUUGAGUACACACCCGUGGUAAAAUAUGAAUAUAUUGCCAGUGCUGUUCCGAUUGUACUCCCACGUCAUAUGCUUUUUUAUGAAUGAGAUACCCGACGUCAUAGAACAAUGACGUUAGAAUGUAAGCAUUUUACGGGAAAAUACACGCUUGUGAAUCCGAAAAUCAUCACAAGGAAACAUACACAAAUGAUGCUAAAAUGUGCCAAAAGCCCUUUAUUGUAC